UAGUCAUUCAUUCGUGUCCGACUCUGCAACCUGAUGAAUAAUAGAUUGCAAACAUCAACUUUGGGGAAAGAAAACUAGACCAGAAAGAAAUCUUACAGCAACUUGUGUACAGUAGCCUUUAAUAAAACAAAAACUUCCUGUAAAAUCUUUACUAGAAAAAUAGAGAUUUGGUCCCCUAGUAGCCCCCAGGAAAAUAGAUGUGCAGUGUGUAUUUCCCAUCAUGACACUAAAAGCCCUUAAAUUGGGUGUUUCUGUUCUAUCACAGAACUAAGAAUGUAGACAUUGAUGAAGCCCCUCACUGGGGAUUUAUUAUUAAAGUGUUAUUAGAUCAAUAAAAAUCUCUAAAAUGAUUUUGAA
rnacentral:lncRNA from 1 species